AAAAGUUAUACUGUAAUUCGAAUUGUUAUAAGUUCGAAAAUAAGAUUCGAACAGCCGUUACCAUAGUAGACGUAACUUAGUUACGCGUAUAUGAGUGAAAACAAUGAAAAAAUGGUGUUGAAUAAACAAGAAAUGCAAACAACCUCUUCCAGCGCUUAUCACCAACAUUUCUCAGCAGCAGCCGCAAAUUGAGAUUUUUCAUCGUUCGACCACGACGAUUCUGUAUCUGGGUUCGACGCAAGCCAAUCAGAACCAAACGCAGAUGAUCAUAGGCUAACAACUAUCAUCACCCAGAUUCCGCAUCAGCAGAUACAGCAACGGCUCCUUCAGGCACAACAGGAAUAGUAUACAAUACAGUUCCAAGCACUGGGAGCACUACAAGUAGCAGCAGUAGCAAAAUUGAGUUGGCCACAAAUAGCUCAACAGCACUAACAGGACACAGCCGAUCAAUCGCCAACAACAACUACAAGGUGCUCGGAAGGGACUUUUUUUUCUUUCG